UACGUAGGGGGCAAGCGUUGUCCGGAAUCAUUGGGCGUAAAGCGCGUGUAGGCGGUUCGAUAAGUCUGCUGUGAAAGUCCAGGGCUCAACCCUGGGAUGCCGGUGGAUACUGUCGGACUAGAGUACGGAAGAGGCGAGUGGAAUUUCCGGUGUAGCGGUGAAAUGCGCAGAUAUCGGGAGGAACACCAAUUGCGAAGGCAGCUCGCUGGGACGUCACUGACGCUGAGACGCGAAAGCGUGGGGAGCAAACAGG
rnacentral:rRNA from 1 species